rnacentral:rRNA from 1 species
AUGCAAGUCGAGCGAGAACCGGAGCUUCGGCUCCGGGGACAGCGGCGAACGGGUGAGUAACACGUGGAUAACCUGCCCUCGGCACCGGAAUAGCCCGGGGAAACCCGGAUUAAUGCCGGAUGGCCCCACAUCCCUGCGGGGAACGUGGGAAAAGGUAGCUUCGGCCUCUGGCCGAGGAUGGGUCCGCGGUGGAUUAGCUUGUUGGUGGGGUAAUGGCCCACCAAGGCGACGAUCCAUAGCUGGUCUGAGAGGACGAUCAGCCACACUGGGACUGAGACACGGCCCAGACUCCUACGGGAGGCAGCAGUGGGGAAUCUUGCGCAAUGGGCGAAAGCCUGACGCAGCGACGCCGCGUGCGGGAAGAAGGCCUUAGGGUUGUAAACCGCUUUCAGGAGGGACGAAGCCACUCGGGUGAAUAGCCCAGAGGGUGACGGUACCUCCAGAAGAAGCCCCGGCUAACUACGUGCCAGCAGCCGCGGUAAUACGUAGGGGGCAAGCGUUGUCCGGAUUCAUUGGGCGUAAAGAGCGUGUAGGCGGCCAGGUAGGUCGGUUGUGAAAACUGGAGGCUCAACCUUCAGAGGUCGACCGAAACCAUCUGGCUAGAGUCCGGGAGAGGAGAGUG